rnacentral:rRNA from 1 species
CCUACGGGGAGCAGCAGUGGGGGAUAUUGCACAAUGGGGGAAACCCUGAUGCAGCGACGCCGCGUGGGCGAAGAAGUAUUUCGGUAUGUAAAGCCCUAUCAGCAGGGAAGAAGAAAUGACGGUACCUGAGUAAGAAGCAUCGGCUAACUCCGUGCCAGCAGCCGCGGUAAUACGGAGGAUGCGAGCGUUAUCCGGAUUUAUUGGGUUUAAAGGGUGCGUAGGCGGAAUGUCAAGUCAGCGGUAAAAAUUCGGGGCUCAACCCCGUCGUGCCGUUGAAACUGAUGUUCUUGAGUGGGCGAGAAGUAUGCGGAAUGCGUGGUGUAGCGGUGAAAUGCAUAGAUAUCACGCAGAACUCCGAUUGCGAAGGCAGCAUACCGGCGCCCAACUGACGCUGAAGCACGAAAGCGUGGGUAUCGAACAGGAUUAGAUACCCCUGUAGUC